AAUCACUCAGACAGGUUGGGUGGGA
rnacentral:piRNA from 1 species